UACGGAGGGGGCUAGCGUUGUUCGGAAUUACUGGGCGUAAAGAGCGCGUAGGCGGCUUGUUCAGUUAGGCGUGAAAGGCCUGGGCUUAACCUGGGAACUGCGCUUAAUACGGAUGGGCUAGAGUCCGGAAGGGGGUGGCGGAAUUCCCAGUGUAGAGGUGAAAUUCGUAGAUAUUGGGAAGAACACCGGUGGCGAAGGCGGCCACCUGGUCCGGAACUGACGCUGAGGUG
rnacentral:rRNA from 1 species